rnacentral:rRNA from 1 species
AGUGAACGCUGGCGGUAGGCCUAACACAUGCAAGUCGAACGGCAGCACAGUAAGAGCUUGCUCUUACGGGUGGCGAGUGGCGGACGGGUGAGGAAUACAUCGGAAUCUACUUUUUCGUGGGGGAUAACGUAGGGAAACUUACGCUAAUACCGCAUACGACCUACGGGUGAAAGCAGGGGAUCUUCGGACCUUGCGCGAUUGAAUGAGCCGAUGUCGGAUUAGCUAGUUGGCGGGGUAAAGGCCCACCAAGGCGACGAUCCGUAGCUGGUCUGAGAGGAUGAUCAGCCACACUGGAACUGAGACACGGUCCAGACUCCUACGGGAGGCAGCAGUGGGGAAUAUUGGACAAUGGGCGCAAGCCUGAUCCAGCCAUACCGCGUGGGUGAAGAAGGCCUUCGGGUUGUAAAGCCCCUUUGUUGGGAAAGAAAAGCAGCAGGUUAAUACCCCGCUGUCCUGACGGUACCCAAAGAAUAAGCACCGGCUAACUUCGUG